rnacentral:rRNA from 1 species
GAUGAACGCUGGCGGCGUGCCUAAUACAUGCAAGUCGAGCGAACGGACGAGAAGCUUGCUUUUCUGAUGUUAGCGGCGGACGGGUGAGUAACACGUGGAUAACCUACCUAUAAGACUGGGAUAACUUCGGGAAACCGGAGCUAAUACCGGAUAAUAUUUUGAACCGCAUGGUUCAAAAGUGAAAGACGGUCUUGCUGUCACUUAUAGAUGGAUCCGCGCUGCAUUAGCUAGUUGGUAAGGUAACGGCUUACCAAGGCAACGAUGCAUAGCCGACCUGAGAGGGUGAUCGGCCACACUGGAACUGAGACACGGUCCAGACUCCUACGGGAGGCAGCAGUAGGGAAUCUUCCGCAAUGGGCGAAAGCCUGACGGAGCAACGCCGCGUGAGUGAUGAAGGUCUUCGGAUCGUAAAACCCUGUUAUUAGGGAAGAACAUAUGUGUAAGUAACUGUGCACAUCUUGACGGUACCUAAUCAGAAAGCCACGGCUAACUACGUG